CAGGUUCUCUGGCUUGAUGUCCCGGUGCAGGACGCGGCGCCUCUGGCAGUGUUUCAGCGCCGCGAUCAGCUGCACCAGCACUUUCUUGGCCAGAGGCU
rnacentral:miRNA from 1 species